GAUGAAGAACGUAGUGAAAUGCGAUAAGUAGUGUGAAUUGCAGAAUUCAGUGAAUCAUCGAAUCUUUGAACGCACAUUGCGCCCCUUGGUAUUCCAUGGGGCAUGCCUGUUCGAGCGUCAUUUGUACCUUCAAGCUCUGCUUGGUGUUGGGUGUUUGUCUCGCCUCUGCGUGUAGACUCGCCUCAAAAUAAUUGGCAGCCGGCGUAUUGAUUUCGGAGCGCAGUACAUCUCGCGCUUUGCACUCAUAACGACGACGUCCAAAAGUACAUUUUUACACUCUUGACCUCGGAUCAGGUAGGGAUACCCGCUGAACUUAAGCAUAUCAAUAAGCGGAGGA
rnacentral:misc_RNA from 1 species